UCGUGCUAGAUGGGGAGCUAGCGGUGCCCUGUAACCCGGAACCCGCUAUACCGGGGUCGAAUUCCCACCUGAGGGCGCAGCCAAGGUCGGGUUUCGGCGGACAAGCGGUGUUGAGGGUUGGGUCCCGUACAACACAAGCCUAUGAACCCCGUCAGGACCGGAAGGUAGCAGCGGUAAGUAGCCACUUGUGUGUGUUGCGGGGUUGCCCGGCCGGAGCUGGCUAUCCGUCGAGUCCGGGUGCGGCGGUUCGACGGUGGGUGCACGG
rnacentral:SRP_RNA from 1 species